rnacentral:rRNA from 1 species
GAUGAACGCUAGCGAUAGGCUUAACACAUGCAAGUCGAGGGGCAGCAUGGUCUUAGCUUGCUAAGACUGAUGGCGACCGGCGCACGGGUGCGUAACGCGUAUGCAACUUGCCUCACAGAGGGGGAUAACCCGUCGAAAGACGGACUAAUACCGCGUACACUUGGGAUAGGGCAUCCUGACCCAAGGCAAUGAAAUUCGCUGUGAGAUAGGCAUGCGUCCCAUUAGCUAGUUGGUGAGGUAACGGCUCACCAAGGCGACGAUGGGUAGGGGAACUGAGAGGUUGAAGCCCGAGAGUGGUACUGAGACACGGACCAGACUCCUACGGCACGCAGCAGUGAGGAAUAUUGGUGAAUGGGCGAGAGCCUGAACCAGCCAAGUCGCGUGAAGGAUGACUGUCUUAUGGAUUGUAAACUUCUUUUAGACGGGAAUAACAAGAGUCACGUGUGGCUCCCUGCAUGUACCGUAUGAAUAAGCAUCGGCUAACUCCGUG